GACGAACGCUGGCGGCGUGCUUAACACAUGCAAGUCGAACGGAAAGGCCCUGCUUUUGUGGGGUGCUCGAGUGGCGAACGGGUGAGUAACACGUGAGUAACCUGCCCUUGACUUUGGGAUAACUUCAGGAAACUGGGGCUAAUACCGGAUAGGAGCUCCUGCUGCAUGGUGGGGGUUGGAAAGUUUCGGCGGUUGGGGAUGGACUCGCGGCUUAUCAGCUUGUUGGUGGGGUAGUGGCUUACCAAGGCUUUGACGGGUAGCCGGCCUGAGAGGGUGACCGGCCACAUUGGGACUGAGGUACGGCCCAGACGCCUACGGGAGGCAGCAGGGGGGAAUAUUGCACAAUGGGCGGGAGCCUGAUGCAGCAACGCCGCGUGCGGGAUGACGGCCUUCGGGUUGUAAACCGCUUUCGCCUGUGACGAAGCGUGAGUGACGGUAAUGGGUAAAGAAGCACCGGCUAACUACGUG
rnacentral:rRNA from 1 species